ensembl:rRNA 5S_rRNA 5S ribosomal RNA
GUCUACGGCCAUACCACCCUGAACGCGCCCGAUCUCGUCUGAUCUCGGAAGCUAAGCAGGGUCGGGCCUGGUUAGUACUUGGAUGGGAAACCAAGAGUUGGAUGCU